rnacentral:siRNA from 1 species
CCGUCCCGCCAAUCCGUCCC